GACGGACGCUGGCGGCGUGCUUAACACAUGCAUGUCGAAAGGAAAGGCCCUGCUUUUGUGGGGUGCUCGAGUGGCGAACGGGUGAGUAACACGUGAGUAACCUGCCCUUGACUUUGGGAUAACUUCAGGAAACUGGGGCUAAUACCGGAUAGGAGCUCCUGCUGCAUGGUGGGGGUUGGAAAGUUUCGGCGGUUGGGGAUGGACUCGCGGCUUAUCAGCUUGUUGGUGGGGUGGUGGCUUACCAAGGCUUUGACGGGUUGCCGGCCUGAGAGGGUGGCCGGGAACAUUGGGACUGAGAUACGGACGAGACUCCUAAGGGAGGCAGCAGUGGGGAAUAUUGCACAAUGGGCGGAAGCCUGAUGCAGCAACGCCGCGUGCGGGAUGACGGCCUUCGGGUUGUAGACCGCUUUCGCCUGUGACGAAGCGUGAGUGAAGGUAAUGGGUAAAGAAGCACCGGCUAACUACGUGCCAGCAGCCGCGGUAA
rnacentral:rRNA from 1 species